rnacentral:sRNA from 1 species
UUUCAGGGAAGCCAGUCUAAAACCGCCACGUCCUGUGGCAACGACUGCCUGACUCACUUCCUGUGAG